rnacentral:rRNA from 1 species
GUGCCAGCCGCCGCGGUAAUACCGGCAGCACGAGUGAUGGCCGAUUUUAUUGGGCCUAAAGCGUUCGUAGCCGGCCGGACAAGUCCGUUGGGAAAUCCACGCGCUCAACGCGUGGGCGUCCAGCGGAAACUAUCCGGCUUGGGGCCGGAAGACUCGAGGGGUACGUCCGGGGUAGGAGUGAAAUCCCGUAAUCCUGGACGGACCACCGGUGGCGAAAGCGCCUCGAGAAGACGGACCCGACGGUGAGGAACGAAAGCCAGGGUCUCGAACCGGAUUAGAAACCCCAGUAGUCC